CGUAACAAGGUCUCCGUUGGUGAACCAGCGGAGGGAUCAUUACCGAGUUUACAACUCCCAAACCCCUGUGAACAUACCAAUUGUUGCCUCGGCGGAUCAGCCCGCUCCCGGUAAAACGGGACGGCCCGCCAGAGGACCCCUAAACUCUGUUUCUAUAUGUAACUUCUGAGUAAAACCAUAAAUAAAUCAAAACUUUCAACAACGGAUCUCUUGGUUCUGGCAUCGAUGAAGAACGCAGCAAAAUGCGAUAAGUAAUGUGAAUUGCAGAAUUCAGUGAAUCAUCGAAUCUUUGAACGCACAUUGCGCCCGCCAGUAUUCUGGCGGGCAUGCCUGUUCGAGCGUCAUUUCAACCCUCAAGCCCAGCUUGGUGUUGGGACUCGCGAGUUAAAUCGCGUUCCCCAAAUUGAUUGGCGGUCACGUCGAGCUUCCAUAGCGUAGUAGUAAAACCCUCGUUACUGGUAAUCGUCGCGGCCACGCCGUUAAACCCCAACUUCUGAAUGUUGACCUCGGAUCAGGUAGGAAUACCCGCUGAACUUAAGCAUAUCA
rnacentral:rRNA from 1 species